ensembl:lncRNA
GCUGUGUGGCUAUGUUCCAGAAGUAUUCUCUCCUGACAUCUAUGGCAGGCAUCCUCAGAGGUUGUGAGGUAUGGAUAAACUAAGCAAGGAAUGUUUAUAUAUAUAUCUGUGGGAAGUCCAGGGUGAGGAGUUAAUCACCCUAAUUUGCAUUGAAUGGCUACAUCUACUAGCUAAUUUCUGCCUGGGGACAUUGUUUGUUAACUGCCCCUAGUUCCCAUGUCUCAAAGUGUUGCUUCUUAUUUACUGUUCUGAUUUUUGAGUUUUUUUAAUACUGGUAGCCAGAUUUUGUUCAUUUUCAUGGUUUCCUCCUUUCUGUUGAAGUUGUCCACAUGUUUGUGAAUUUCAAUGGCUUCUCUGACAUGAUAGUUGUUGGAGUGGUCAAGCAUUUCUGUGUUCACAAAUAAUAUACUGUGUCCAGGUUGGUUCAUCAAGUGUUCUGCUAUGGCUGAUUUCUCUGGUUGAAUUAUGCUGGUAGCCAGACUUUUUCCCCCAACAAAGGAUUUUCCCCAAGCAGGAAUCAGCCAGGCCUUGAAGCUGCAAGGCUUUUCGACGCUAAUCAAGGCGACUAAUUGCAACAUUCACAUUUGCCUGCAACAGGCAAGAGUUCUUUCUCCUAAUCCUGGACAUUACUCCACACUUGCCUAGUUUCGAACAGACCUCACAACCUCUGAGGAUGCCUGCCAUAGAGGUGGGCGAAACGUCAGGAGAGAAUGGUUCUGGAACAUGGCCAUUACAGUCCGGAAAAGUCACAGCAACCCAGUGAUUCAGGCCAAGAAAGCCUUGGAAAGAACCUGGGGAAGAGAAAGGCUUUCCUGAGCGAGAGGCGCAAGGAGCAGCGGCCGUUCAGCAGAGGGCGUCCCGCUUGCGGCUCCGACGAAGCCGGGAGGAGCUUCCCUCUCUCAGGUUCGAUCGGGGAGGAGGAAGAAGAGCAGGAGGAAGAAGAGGAGGAGGAGCCCUUCCGUUGCUGCUUUUGCAGCUUGUGCCACGUUGACGCCAGGCUGAGGCGGCGAGCCGGGAAGGCGGCGGGAUCGCCUCGCCAACACGUGCGCGCCGCUCUGACCGGCAUGUGAUUGUGGUCCCAAAAGGAUCUUGGUAACUGUGAAGACUCUCUCACUUAGAG